AACGCUAGCUACAGGCUUAACACAUGCAAGUCGAACGGAUUCUGGAUUCGUCUGGAAUUAGUGGCAAACGGGUGAGUAACACGUAUCCAACCACCCUGCGACUCGGGGAUAGCCUCUUGAAAGGGAGAUUAAUAUCCGAUGUACUGUUUUUGGUGCAUGCCAUUUUCAGUAAAGUUUUUUACGGUCGCUGACGGGGAUGCGUUCCAUUAGAUAGUCGGUGUGGUAACGGCUCACCGAGUCUAUGAUGGAUAGGGGUUCUGAGAGGAAGGUCCCCCACAUUGGAACUGCGAAACGGUCCAAACUCCUACGGGAGGCAGCAGUGAGGAAUAUUGGUCAAUGGGCGAAAGCCUGAACCAGCUAUGUAGCGUGAAGGAUGACUGCCCUAUGGGUUGUAAACUUCUUUUGUUCGGGAAUAACAGACUUCACUUGUGGAGUUUUGCAUGUACCGUUCGAAUAAGGAUCGGCUAACUCCGUGCCAGCAGCCGCGGUAAUACGGAGGAUCCUAGCGUUAUUCGGAUUUAUUGGGUUUAAAGGGAGCGUAGGCGGGGGGUCAAGUCAGCUGUGAAAUACGUACGCUUAACGUUCGUCUUGCAGUUGAAACUGGUUUUCUUGAGUGCGUAUGAGGCAGGCGGAAUUCGUGGUGUAGCGGUGAAAUGCUUAGAUAUCACGAAGAACUCCGAUUG
rnacentral:rRNA from 1 species